UACGGAGGGUGCAAGCGUUAUCCGGAUUUACUGGGUUUAAAGGGUGCGCAGGCGGAUAUGUAAGUCAGUGGUGAAAUCUUCCCGCUUAACGGGAAAACUGCCGUUGAUACUAUAUAUCUUGAAUGCUGUGGAGGUAAGCAGAAUAUGUCAUGUAGCGGUGAAAUGCUUAGAGAUGACAUAGAAUACCGAUUGCGAAGGCAGCUUACUACACAAUUAUUGACACUGAGGCUCGAAAGCGUGGGGAUCAAACAGG
rnacentral:rRNA from 1 species